GUUUUGCAGCCCUGGGCAGCUCGGCAGUCCAGCCCGCCCGGGUCAUGGUGGUGGGCCGCGGGCUGCUCGGCCGCCGCAGCCUCGCUGCGCUGGGAGCCGCCUGCGCCCGCCGAGGCCUCGGUCCAGCCCUGCUGGGAGUUUUCUGCCACACAGAUUUGCGGAAGAACCUGACCGUGGACGAGGGCACCAUGAGGGUGGAGGUGCUGCCUGCCCUGACCGACAACUACAUGUACCUGGUCAUUGAUGAUGAGACCAAGGAGGCUGCCAUUGUGGAUCCGGUGCAGCCCCAGAAGGUCGUGGACGCGGCGAGAAAGCACGGGGUGAAACUGACCACAGUGCUCACCACCCACCACCACUGGUAAGUGCCGCGUCUCACCUGGGGGUGUGGGACCUGGCUCACUUCUCGCCCCGGUGGGUUUAGGGACAUCAAGGCCUGUCUCCCCCCACAGCUCUGUCUGCUUUGUGAGGACAGGCCCCCAGCAGACUUCUGAGAAAGACCCGGGACUCACCGUAGCCCCCAAGGGGCAAGUCUGGUGCUCAGUGACUCUGAGGCCCCGAGGGUGAGGGGAGAAGGCUACAGCCUUACCCUCAGGCCCCACCCCCCGGCUCUCUCCUGGGCCAUGCGGGCUUGUGCCCUGGCACGUUGGCCUCAAUGUUGGGGAGGAAAUGAGUCUACAGGUGAGUGGUUUUUUUUAAAAAAAAAAAAAAAAAAAAAAAAAAAAACAAGCAGCCAGCCGGGCACAGUGGCUCAUGCCUAUAAUCCCAGCACUUUGGGAGGCUGAGGUAGUUGGGUCACUUGAGGUCAGGACCAGCCUGGCCAACACAGUGAAACCCAGUCUCUACCGAAAAUACAAAAAUUAACUGGGCGUGGUGGUGGGCGCCUGUAAUCUCAGCUACUCGGGAGGCUGAAGCAGGAGAAUCACUUGAACCCGGGAGGCGGAGGUUGCCGUGAGCCAAGAUCGUGGCAUUGCACUCCAGCCUGGGUGACAGAGCGAGACUCCGUCUCAAAAAAAACAAAGACAAGCAGCCAUAUCUGGAGAGGUUGGGUUUUUAAAAAUCCUUGAAAAUGGAUGAAUAAAAUGCCCUCUAUGGGUUCUAGGGCUGGCAUUGCCUGCUCAAGGCCGUUGUUCGGCUUUUAGAAAUUUU
rnacentral:sRNA from 1 species